UCCUUCCCUCGAGUCACAUAUAGAAAGAGUGUGCUUCUUCCUGCAUUUACUUUUUGUCUUGUUACUUGUUCUCUGUUUUUAGUGGGUUUUGUUGGUUUUUUCCCAGCCUCUGUCCAGUAUACUUCACAUGCAGCCUUCUUUCAUGUGAAAUACCUAUUUCCCAGAUGCCUGAAGCUUCUAGAACCAGUGUCUAAGGCUGCAAGGAUCCUACUGUGGCUGCUCAGGCCAUCUCAGCCAAAGGCUUCCAGGCUUCCCAUGAGGAAGACCUUGUGGGGGCACAUAAGGCAUGCUUUCCCUUUGACUUCUGUAGAGGAGUCCUUGAACAACAGUCCACAGAGGUGACAUGCUGUUUAAUUUGGGAAAAAUGUAAAAUUUUAGGCAAUGGCUGCCCCCAGCCUUGCUCUGCAGCUCAGCUGAUCUGCUGUACUGAAAGGGAUAUGGCUCACCUUUCCCAGCUGGGGAAAAUCCACGCUUCAGACUAGUUCCGAUCAGCAAGCAUAUUCUCCCUGCCCAAGACUUCACCUGCCUGAGGAAGGUGCCUCUGAGAAGAUACCUUCUGUCUAGGAAGGUAUUUUUUUGUAAAGCUGAGUUUAUUCUUUUAAAGCCUAAAAGCUGAGUAGAACUGGGGGUAGGGGACAGAGGAGGGCAAGACUCUGGGGAUGUUCAGAGCAGAGGAGAGAGCUGGGGUUCAAACCUGACUUUGCAUUUCCCUCUCAGGGAGCCAGAUGUCUCUCUGCCCCCUUGAGAAGCACUCAGGGCUACUCCAUAAAGUUGGAAGCAAAGCUGAAGCUCCCUUAUGUGCAACAUGAGGCUUUGCAGAGGUUUUAAACAAGCACAGAAAGUCCUAGUGGGUUUGGCUCAAACAACCAAAUAAUCUCUUACAGGGUCUAUCCAAGCACUUGCAUUUUUCACCUACUCUUAUUGCUUGUAUUCUUUGGCAUUUGCAGAUCAAGCUGUAAAUAAGGUUUGACAUAAUCUUCUUUCUUUCCACUGUGUGGUGUUUUGGAGAGUCUUAAACAAUCCCUCAGUCUCCCCCCAUGUUUUUUAAAAGAUCAUGAGACAAGAGAGAAUGGAUGGGGUGGAAGUAUCCAGCAUAAUUUGGGAUUGUAUUUGACUUUAGCUAAUUCAUUAAUCCAGCAUUCUUGUCAUUAUGACACACUUUCUCCUGGACACUCUCCUGGAAUUGCUGUACUUCUAGCAGGCAGGAUUUCACCAAGACCAGCAGAGACACACAGAUCAGACAGGAACUCUGAUGGCUGAUGCUUUCUGCAUUUUCUUAAGUUAGAGAGAGCGAACAAGAAAGUCUUUGUUCCUUUGCCUAGAUUGGGGAACUAAAAUUGUUUUUGUGAAGAAAAGUCUUUCCCUUGUUCAGAAAAAGAUGACCACUUGAAAUAAGAAAAAUAUUUUCUAAGUUUUGUAUAUUCAAGCCUCCCCACAGCAAAAAACAAACAAACAAACAAACCCAAAAAAACCCCCAAAAAAACUCAUCUUACAUCAACUUCUAAAAAUGUUCAAGCCCUGUCAGCUCUCUCUAGUCAGAUUCUUGUUGUGGAACUGGGAGAUCCACAUUCUGUAAACAGCCUAUGAAUGCUUUUAAAAAUAUAUUUAAAUAUAUGUUACAUUGUCCAAGAUAAAUUUAUUCCUUUUUGGGCAGUGAGGGGUGUGUGUGCACAAAAAAAAAUGGCUACAUUUCUACCCAGUGUCUUUCUUAUUUUCAAUGGCUGUGAACACUUACUGCCAACAACUCACUCUGUGCUCCCCUUCCUUAAAUGCUUGUAGCAAAGGGUUCCCAGCUGUACCAGGUGCUUGAAAUUUUCACCUAUUCCUUUUCAAUUUCAGGAAGAAUUUCUUCAUGGUUGGAGUUGUUAAGCAUUGGAAUGGACUGCCCAGGGGGGUGGUGGAGUCACCAUCCUUGGAUGUGUUCAAGAAACAACUGGAUGUGGCAUUUAGUCCCAUGGUUUAGUUGACAAGGUGAUUGGUCAAAGGUUGGACUUGCUGAUCUUAGAGGUCUUUUCCAACCUUAAUGAUUUUGUUAUUCUCCUUGGAGGCUGCAAUAUUUUGCUUAGCAGGAUCAGUUGUGUGAGCCUGCAGACUAUCCUUGAUCUGCAACUGCUGCUGAGGUAAGUAUAUAACUGACUGAAGCUACCAGGCUUGCAAGAGAUUUAUUGAUGAGAUGAGUAAGUCAAUGGCUACAAAUAACUUUUAAAAGCCUGAAAGAAAUGGGUUGAGGUCUACAGACUAAAUGCUGGUCAAAACUAUGUGAAGUUAAGAAUGAAGUUGCUCAUGAAAAUAUCAUUUAUAGAUCAUUAAGAGGCUUAUCUCAACAGAUCCAUCAACAGUAACCAAAUUUCUCUAUUCAAAUUCUCCACCACACCAUUUUCACGGUGAGCCAGCCGUGAGCUGUAACGGUAGCUGUGUGGCCAGCUGGCUGUGACCUGUUAGCUGACCUGCCACAGGAAAUAAAGACCAUGCUUUUGUUAAUGCUUGUGCUUUGCCUGCUGAAGUAUAAGAAUGAAAUGUGCUUCUGGCCCUCAUUCCCAGCUUGGAAGCCAGUACUUAUUCCUCUUGAGUUUACAACAGUAAAGAGAAUGGUUUUUUAAUGUUUUUUUUUAUCUCCACAGAUUUACUAUUGCUACUGAUUGUGCUGGAAAACAAACCUGCAGGAUGCAAGAUGCAAACCUGGAUGAAUGCUGUCCUCUUUCAAUAACUUAACAGUUCUGGGAAAUGCAACUUCAAACCAGACCAUUAUAAUUCAGGUGCUGGAUCCUACCUUAGCAAUCUGCUGAUUUGGAGAUUGCUCUUCAGAACAUUUAGUCUUAACAUGUACAGCUUUCUAACCAGAGAAAAAGUACCACAUCCACGUAGAUACACAGACACAAACACACUCAAAACUAAAGUGUUUAUUGCAUGCUAAUGUUACCAUAAUUAGUGCUGGCAAAGAUGUAGCCAGAAAAACACAUAGUGUCUUGGAAUUCCUUCAGUCUCAGCCAGCUGCUGCCUAUUUGAAGGAUCCCCAGUCUGGGAGCUGAUAUCACUGUGCUGAACACCAACAUGCUCACUGUAGCAAUGUAAACAUGGCCAAAAUUCAAAACCUUAGGUGCAUGAAGAAUUUCAGUAUAGAGGACUUUGUGAGAGAUUUUUGUUUGAGAUUUAAUCAACACGCACACCUACUUCUUUCCUUAAAUGAUCAUUAUAAGCCUUGGGAAAGGGUUGUGAUUGAACAAACUUAGGUGCUUGGCUUCUGUCCUCACCACUGCUGUUGCUGGCAGACAUACUGAAAUGAUGCAGUGCAUUUAAAGAAGGCCAAAUAUAUCCUCACUGGCAUGUAGAGGAAGUUUCCACAGAAGUCAUACAAAAAACACUGAGCACAGAGAUCUCUUCUGCUGUGGCUGUGCAAUGUUCAUUGAAAUGGCUUACUCGUGAGAAAA